UCAGGGAUUUCAUUACCACUCACUGAAUCCUACCUCUGGCUUUCUUGGUCUCCCAGCUUGAGGAUGAGAGCUUGGAACUUCAAUAGUUUCCAGCAACCUUGGAAGAGCCCUGCUCACAUGCAUGGAAGGACAAUAUCUGCAUAGUUCAUGGCUAUCUGAUGAUGGUUCUGGGAGAAGCUUGCCUUCAUGAAGUUCCAUGUACUGAAUACUGUCUUGCUCAUAUAGGUCAGUUAAUCUUCCUGAAAUGUUUUUCUUGUCCUCUUUCCUAUUUAUUUCUUUUUUGUAGGAGAAAGAACUUAACAAAAUGACUCUUUUAAAAGGUGACAGAGCUGGCUGCGUUUAACCUCAUGUUUGUCCUUUCUACUGGUGGGACAGCAAAAAAAUCUGAGACUCAUGUCAUCUGUGGAAACUGCACUCAAACACAGGAGGCGGCGGUGGUGGUGAAAGGAAAGCUUUUGUGGUCUACUCUAAAAGUCACAACUUCUACGAGGAAUUCAACCUUUGGAUCGGCUGCACCCAGAUGAUUUCUUCUUCCUAUCCCAUGAAAGCCAACUGCUGUGAAACAUACUGUGGAACCAGAGAGUUUCCUGUUUGGCAUCCAGGGCUUAACUCGUGUCUGUGUCAAGAGAGAAUGAUUAUAUUUCUUCUAUCACAUUCAAUUAUGUAUAAUAAA
rnacentral:lncRNA from 1 species